UAGUUGGUAAGGUAACGGCUUACCAAGGCGACGAUCAGUAGCCGACCUGAGAGGGUGAUCGGCCACAUUGGAACUGAGACACGGUCCAAACUCCUACGGGAGGCAGCAGUGGGGAAUAUUGCACCAUGGGCGAAAGCCUGAUGCAGCAACGCCGCGUGAGUGAUGAAGGCCUUCGGGUCGUAAAACUCUGUCCUCAAGGAAGAUAAUGACGGUACUUGAGGAGGAAGCCCCGGCUAACUACGUGCCAGCAGCCGCGGUAAUACGUAGGGGGCUAGCGUUAUCCGGAUUUACUGGGCGUAAAGGGUGCGUAGGCGGUCUUUCAAGUCAGGAGUGAAAGGCUACGGCUCAACCGUAGUAAGCUCUUGAAACUGGGAGACUUGAGUGCAGGAGAGGAGAGUGGAAUUCCUAGUGUAGCGGUGAAAUGCGUAGAUAUUAGGAGGAACACCAGUUGCGAAGGCGGCUCUCUGGACUGUAACUGACGCUGAGGCACGAAAGCGUGGGGAGCAAACAGGAUUAGAUACCCUG
rnacentral:rRNA from 1 species